UGGAUUAUGAGUGAUAGAAGAGAAGGAUCUUAGCUGAUUUUUGAGACCUCUUCGCUGUUGUUGCCACUGAGCUUCAAUUGCAAACUCAUCCA
rnacentral:sRNA from 1 species